UGGGGAAUAUUGGGCAAUGGGCGAAAGCCUGACCCAGCAACGCCGCGUGAUUUAGAAGGCCUUCGGGUUGUAAAAAUCUUUUCUAUGGGAAGAAAAUGACAGUACCAUAGGAAUAAGGACCGGCUAAUUACGUGCCAGCAGCCGCGGUAAUACGUAAGGUCCGAGCGUUGUCCGGAAUCAUUGGGCGUAAAGGGUACGUAGGCGGGUAAGCAAGUUAGAAGUGAAAUCCUGUAGCUCAACUACAGUAAGCUUUUAAAACUGCUCAUCUUGAGAUAUGGAAGGGAAAGUGGAAUUCCUAGUGUAGCGGUGAAAUGCGCAGAUAUUAGGAGGAAUACCGGUGGCGAAGGCGACUUUCUGGCCAUAAUCUGACGCUGAGGUACGAAAGCGUGGGUAGCAAACAGG
rnacentral:rRNA from 1 species